GUACAUAGUUACUGCUGCAUCCAGUGCUCAGAGUCAGGGAUCCACAGUAUUCUCUUAAGGUAUUACCAUAGUGCUGCAAUAAACUGUAGCAGUUCAAAUCCAAUAUUCAGAUGCACUUUAUUAAUACCUCACCAACAUACAGAGGGGUAUUUUAGUAUUGUCAGUUUUUUAUUCAAUUUUGAACUUUACUAACAUAAGAUUAUUUCCUUUAUUUUAAAGUCUGAACACCACCAUGUUUGAAAAACAGUCUCUUCUCCUGCUGAUAGCUAUUUCCCUGACUUGUAAAGCUCAGCAAAUUGAUAAGUGUGCUGGGAUCCCAGGUCUUCCUGGCACUCCAGGUGUGAACGGGGUUCCAGGCAGAGAUGGAAGGGAUGGCAUAAAGGGAAAUACUGGAUUACCAGGUAAAUUUAGCCAUAUUUCAUGCAAACUAGUCUGCAGGAAAAUAGUAAUAUAAAC
rnacentral:lncRNA from 1 species